CACGUAGGGGGCAAGCGUUGUCCGGAUUUAUUGGGCGUAAAGCGCACGUAGGCGGCUUGGCAAGUCGGAUGUGAAAUCCCUCGGCUCAACCAAGGAAGUGCAUCCGAAACUGCCGAGCUUGAGUACUUAAGAGGAUCGCGGAAUUCCCGGUGUAGAGGUGAAAUUCGUAGAUAUCGGGAGGAACACCAGUGGCGAAGGCGGCGAUCCGGGAAGAUACUGACGCUGAGGUGCGAAAGCGUGGGGAGCAAACAGG
rnacentral:rRNA from 1 species